rnacentral:rRNA from 1 species
UACAGAGGUCUCGAGCGUUAGGCGGAAUCACUGGGCUUAAAGCGUGUGUAGGCGGGUCGUUAAGUACCUUGUGAAAUCCCAUGGCUCAACCAUGGAACUGCUGGGUAUACUGGCGAUCUUGUGCAACCUAGGGGCGAGCGGAACAGAUGGUGGAGCGGUGAAAUGCGUAGAUAUCAAUCUGGAACGCCAAGUGGUGAAAACAGCUCGCUGGGGGUU